CUUGAGAUAGCAGCCAUGUUGCCAAAAUAUCACCCGGUUAAUGAAUAACUUCCGGUACUUUCAUUGUAUUCGCAUUGACCAAUCAAAUCACGUUCUGAAUUGGAUUAUCCCAGGGCUUCUGAGAGCAAUAAGCGCGGAAGCCCUGGGUACGAGGUUGCUCACGCAUGCGUAUCUCACCGAAUUUUGUCUUCCUGUCGUGCUCAUCUUCGAAAGCACGACCAAGUUAAACACCGUAAAUUAUUCAGCAAUUUUGUCGAGAUUCAUUCAAGUUAUCU